CAGGAGCCAUGGCCUGGGAGGGCCCCAGGUUAGGGGCACACUCUCAUCCAGGCUAACCCCACUCUCCGGGCCUGGCGAGGAUGGAGAAGAGGUGCAGGUCCACAGCCAGAGGCAGCAGCAGAGCGUUAUGUAGGUCCAGUGCUAGACUCAGAUGACUUGGGUAAAUCAGACUUGCUGCCCGCCCUUAUGAAAACCAUGAUCUGCUACCAACCUGUGGGCCAGGAAGUCAUGCACCUGCAUCUGGAUCUCUCUGGUACCUGUGAAAUCUAGAUCCCCAGGCCUGCUCUCUGGAAAUAUAAAUCUGGUAGAGACUGAAAUUGAAAUGUGUCACAUAUCUUGGGUUUGGUGAUGGACUAUUCAAGUACCUCUGAACAGCAGUGUCUCCACAAGGGAAACUAGAAGAUAAAGUCUUUCUCAGCAGUUAUCUCUGAGGCCAGCUUUACCCACCAAAGGACUCCAAGGCUGUUGGAUAA